GAUGAACGCUAGCGGCUGGCUUAAUACAUGCAAGUCGAGGGACAGCACAGGUAGCAAUACUGGGUGGUAACCGGCAAACGGGUGCGGAACACGUACACAACCUUCGUUUAAGUGGGGGAUAGCCCGGAGCAAUUUGGAUUAAUACCCCGUCAUAUAGUAGAAUGGCAUCAUUUGAUUAUUAUAGCUACGGCGCUUAAUGAGGGGUGUGCGGCUGAUUAGACAGUUGGCGGGGUAACGGCCGCCCAAGUCUACGAUCAGUAGCUGAUGUGAGAGCCUGAUCAGCCACACGGGCACUGAGACACGGGCCCGACUCCUACGGGAGGCAGCAGCAACGAAUAUUGGUCAAUGGACGCAAGUCUGAACCAGCCAUGCCGCGUGAAGGAUUAAGGUCCUCUAGAUUGUAAACUACUUUUAUUUGGGACGAAAAAGGGCCUUUCUAGGUCAACUGACGGUACCAGAUGAAUAAGCACCGGCUAACUCCGUGCCAGCCGCCGCAGUAAUAC
rnacentral:rRNA from 1 species